GACGAACGCUGGCUGCGUGCUUAACACAUGCAAGUCGAACGCUGAAGCCUGGUGCUUGCACCGGGUGGAUGAGUGGCGAACGGGUGAGUAACACGUGAGUAACCUGCCCCUGACUUCGGGAUAAGCCCGGGAAACUGGGUCUAAUACCGGAUACGACUGCCGGACGCAUGUCUGGUGGUGGAAAGUUUUUUCGGUUGGGGAUGGGCUCGCGGCCUAUCAGUUUGUUGGUGAGGUAAUGGCUCACCAAGACGACGACGGGUAGCCGGCCUGAGAGGGCGACCGGCCACACUGGGACUGAGACACGGCCCAGACUCCUACGGGAGGCAGCAGUGGGGAAUAUUGCACAAUGGGGGAAACCCUGAUGCAGCGACGCAGCGUGCGGGAUGACGGCCUUCGGGUUGUAAACCGCUUUCAGCAGGGAAGAAGCGCAAGUGACGGUACCUGCAGAAGAAGUACCGGCUAACUACGUGCCAGCAGCCGCGGUAAUACGUAGGGUACGAGCGUUGUCCGGAAUUAUUGGGCGUAAAGAGCUCGUAGGUGGUUGGUCACGUCUGCUGUGGAAACGCAACGCUUAACGUUGCGCGUGCAGUGGGUACGGGCUGACUAGAGUGCAGUAGGGGAGUCUGGAAUUCCUGGUGUAGCGGUGAAAUGCGCAGAUAUCAGGAGGAACACCGGUGGCGAAGGCGGGACUCUGGGCUGUAACUGACACUGAGGAGCGAAAGCAUGGGGAGCGAACAGGAUUAGAUACCCUGGUAGUCCAUGCCGUAAACGUUGGGCACUAGGUGUGGGGGGCAUUCCACGUUCUCCGCGCCGUAGCUAACGCAUUAAGUGCCCCGCCUGGGGAGUACGGUCGCAAGGCUAAAACUCAAAGGAAUUGACGGGGGCCCGCACAAGCGGCGGAGCAUGCGGAUUAAUUCGAUGCAACGCGAAGAACCUUACCAAGGCUUGACAUACACCGGACCGUCCUGGAAACAGGUCCUCUUCUUUGAAGCUGGUGUACAGGUGGUGCAUGGUUGUCGUCAGCUCGUGUCGUGAGAUGUUGGGUUAAGUCCCGCAGCGAGCGCAACCCUCGUUCUAUGUUGCCAGCAUGUGAUGGUGGGAACUCAUAGGAGACUGCCGGGGUCAACUCGGAGGAAGGUGGGGAUGACGUCAAAUCAUCAUGCCCUUUAUGUCUUGGGCUUCACGCAUGCUACAAUGGCUGGUACAGAGAGAGGCGAACCCGUGAGGGCAAGCGAAUCCCUUAAAGCCAGUCUCAGUUCGGAUCGUAGUCUGCAAUUCGACUACGAGAAGUCGGAGUCGCUAGUAAUCGCAGAUCAGCAACGCUGCGGUGAAUACGUUCCCGGGCCU
rnacentral:rRNA from 1 species